CAGAGACCCAUACGACCCCAUUUCCCAUUCUUUUUGUUCCACUGAGAAUCUCCAUUCCCCAAACAACAAACUCAAUACUUCCAGACUUUCUUCGAUUGAGUCCGACUUCGACUCUUUGAGUCUUCAUGCAAUCUCUGCCCUUCUGCAACUCAGUCUUGGAUUGAUGAUCUUGAAGCUGUGAAAGAUUAAAGAUAGAGAGAUUCUUUAAACGAGCAUUAGACGAGUUAUCAUGACCCCUCAUAGAGAGUGAAAGAUCAAAACAGAUUCAUGUAGAAAUUGAUUUGGCUAAUCUUCCUCCUGCAAGCUCUCUUUUUUGUUAAACCUUUUGUACUAUUGAACAUUAUUUUUCCAAGUUGAAGGGCUGAGCAUCAUAAUCUAUUAAAUUCUGUUUCUUUGAUUGCAC